UACAGAGGGUGCAACCGUUGUUCGGAAUUACUGGGCGUAAAGCGCGUGUAGGCUGCUUCGCAAGUCGGAUGUGAAAGCCCUGGGCUCAACCCAGGAAGUGCAUUCGAAACUGCAGAGCUGGAGUCCUGGAGAGGAAGGCGGAAUUCUCGGUGUAGAGGUGAAAUUCGUAGAUAUCGAGAGGAACACCGGUGGCGAAGGCGGCCUUCUGGACAGUGACUGACGCUGAGACGCGAAAGCGUGGGGAGCGAACAGG
rnacentral:rRNA from 1 species